GGGGAAUCUUCCGCAAUGGACGAAAGUCUGACGGAGCAACGCCGCGUGAGUGAUGACGGCCUUCGGGUUGUAAAGCUCUGUUAAUCGGGACGAAUGGUUCUUGUGCGAAUAGUGCGAGGAUUUGAUGGUACCGGAAUAGAAAGCCACGGCUAACUACGUGCCAGCAGCCGCGGUAAUACGUAGGUGGCAAGCGUUGUCCGGAAUUAUUGGGCGUAAAGCGCGCGCAGGCGGAUUGGUCAGUCUGUCUUAAAAGUUCGGGGCUUAACCCCGUGAUGGGAUGGAAACUGCCAAUCUAGAGUAUCGGAGAGGAAAGUGGAAUUCCUAGUGUAGCGGUGAAAUGCGUAGAUAUUAGGAAGAACACCAGUGGCGAAGGCGACUUUCUGGACGAAAACUGACGCUGAGGCGCGAAAGCCAGGGGAGCGAACGGGAUUAGAUACCCCGGUAGUCCUGGCCGUAAACGAUGGGUACUAGGUGUAGGAGGUAUCGACCCCUUCUGUGCCGGAGUUAACGCAAUAAGUACCCCGCCUGGGGAGUACGACCGCAAGGUUG
rnacentral:rRNA from 1 species